rnacentral:sRNA from 1 species
GCGAAAGGGAAUCCGGUUCCUAUUCCGGA